CCUACGGGAGGCAGCAGUGGGGAAUUUUCCGCAAUGGGCGAAAGCCUGACGGAGCAACGCCGCGUGAGGGAUGAAGGCCUCUGGGCUGUAAACCUCUUUUAUCAAGGAAGAAGAUCUGACGGUACUUGAUGAAUAAGCCACGGCUAAUUCCGUGCCAGCAGCCGCGGUAAUACGGGAGUGGCAAGCGUUAUCCGGAAUUAUUGGGCGUAAAGCGUCCGCAGGCGGUCUUGUAAGUCUGUCGUUAAAGCGUGGAGCUCAACUCCAUUUCGGCGGUGGAAACUACAAGACUAGAGUGUGGUAGGGGCAGAGGGAAUUCCCGGUGUAGCGGUGAAAUGCGUAGAUAUCGGGAAGAACACCAGUGGCGAAGGCGCUCUGCUGGGCCAUAACUGACGCUCAUGGACGAAAGCUAGGGGAGCGAAAGGGAUUAGAUACCCCUGUAGUCCUAGCCGUAAACGAUGAACACUAGGUGUCGGGGGAAUCGACCCCCUCGGUGUCGUAGCUAACGCGUUAAGUGUUCCGCCUGGGGAGUACGCACGCAAGUGUGAAACUCAAAUGAAUUGACGG
rnacentral:rRNA from 1 species